rnacentral:rRNA from 1 species
GACGAACGCUGGCGGCGUGCCUAAUACAUGCAAGUCGAGCGAAUCAAUAGGAGCUUGCUCCUGAUGGUUAGCGGCGGACGGGUGAGUAACACGUGGGCAACCUGUCUGUAAGACUGGGAUAACUUCGGGAAACCGGAGCUAAUACCGGAUAAUCCUUUUCCUCUCAUGAGGAAGAGCGGAAAGACGGUUUCGGCUGUCACUUACCGAUGGGCCCGCGGCGCAUUAGCUAGUUGGUGAGGAAACGGCUCACCAAGGCGACGAUGCGUAGCCGACCUGAGAGGGUGAUCGGCCACACUGGGACUGAGACACGGCCCAGACUCCUACGGGAGGCAGCAGUAGGGAAUCUUCCGCAAUGGACGAAAGUCUGACGGAGCAACGCCGCGUGAACGAUGAAGGCCUUCGGGUCGUAAAGUUCUGUUGUUAGGGAAGAACAAGUAUCGGAGUAACUGCCGGUACCUUGACGGUACCUAACCAGAAAGCCACAGCUAACUACGUGCCAGCAGCCGCCGUAACAC